rnacentral:lncRNA from 1 species
CCCCGCCACCGUGAGCUCCAUGGGACAGCUGCCGGAGCCCCCCGCCGUCCCCAGUCUCUUGUGCGAUGCGCUCACCAUGGCGCUGCUUAGACGCGGCCACCUUAGUGCUACCUCCGCCCGGGUGGCUCAAUCCCAGUCGUGCACCAUCCCGGGAGGGGCGGGGGGCUGGGCGGGGGGCGAGAAAGGAGGGACAAAGCAGCCCCGACAACUGCUCUGCGGCGGUGAAGCCGCCCAGCGCCGCCUUAUAGAGGGGGGAGGGGCGGGGAGGGGCUGGCGCGUCUGCCAAUGGGAGCCCAGUGCCUGUGACCGACCGCGAGAGAAGCUCGGCGGGGAUGGCGAUACGGGGAAGCAGACAGUUUGAGAGAGCCCUCUACUUCUGCCCAAGGCAAAAGAGGAAGAAACAGCUUAAUUGGAGCUGCAGCCUUUUUACUAAUGCAAGAAGCAUCUUCCUGCAGUCUUUAGUGAGCCAUAUGUGUCUUUAAAAUCCUAGCGGUUAUAGAAUGUCAGAGCUGGCA